rnacentral:rRNA from 1 species
AAUAUUGGACACUGGGCGAAAGCCUGAUCCAGCCAUGCCGCGUGUGUGGAGAAGGUCUUCGGAUUGUAAAGCGCUUUAAGCUGGGAGGAAGGGAAGUAAGGUAAUACCUUGCUGUGUUGACGUUAACGACAGAAUCAGCACCGGCGUAUUUCGUGCCAGCAGCCGCGGUAAUACGAAGGGUGCAAGCGUUAAUCGGAAUUACUGGGCGUAAAGCGCGCGUAGGUGGGUUGUUAAGUUGGAAGUGAAAGCCCCGGGAUCAACCAGGGAACUGCUUCCAAAACUGGCAAGCUAGAGUAUGGCAGAGGAUGGUGGAAUUUCCUGUGUAGCGGUGAAAUGCGUAGAUAUAGGAAGGAACACCAGUGGCGAAGGCGACUACCUGGACUGAUACUGACACUGAGGUGCGAAAGCGUGGGGAGCAAAC